CACCAUCCCAUCCCCUUUCCUUUGCCAGCCGAUCACCAACCCAACCCCACUGAUUCCGAACUACCCCACUAGGAACAGCUCCCAUCUCCCACCUACCCUCCACCCACAUCCCUACCGAGAUAGCCAUCGAAACUGCCAAAAAAUAAAUAGCAACUGUCACAGCCAAAAACAGAAAAUAAAAAAACCAAGCCAGCAAAGCCAAAAAAAAAAAAAAAUGCAAACAACCACAGUCCUCUAUUGAGGAAUCCAUCAGGAAAAAAAAAAAAAAGAAAGAGAAAAGGGCCCGUUGAGGACGAAAAGGACAGAAAAUAAAAAAACCAAGCCAGCAAAGCCAAAAAAAAAAAUGCAAACAACGACAGUCCUCUAUUGAGGAAUCCAUCAGGAAAAAAAAAAAAGAAAGAGAAAAGGGCCCGUUGAGGACGAAAAGGGCUUUCGGUCAUGGGAUUUUUUUUUGUUUUUAUGAGUGAUUUGGGAGAGUAUUUUUAAGAUUUUGGAAAAGGAGAGAAAAGAGCUAUUUUUUUGGGCGGUGGGAGCGACGGCGGUGUAUGGAGGUCAGCAGUGGCCAGGAGACUUUUGGAUGAUCUGAACCGGUAGAAAGGAAGGAUGGAAGGGGAGAAACAACAUACUUUGGUUUCAGGACGACCGGAUGGCAAGAAGAGGGUGAACGGCGGUUUAAAAUUUCGGAUUAAAGUUUCAGAUCUAAGCUAUUAUGAGGUGAUUUGAGCAAAACAGAGGCUGAAUCUGAGACGAGAAGGAAGAGAGGAGUCCACGGCUGAAAUUUUGGAGCCAACUGACGCCAAACAGCGGCAGUGAACGGCGCCGGGUCGGCUACCGUCGCCGGGAUCUGGGUUAGGGGAUAGUGGCCGGGUGUGUCUUUUUGUGGAGAGAAAAUGUUGCUCUUUGAAAGAGAAGAAGAAUGAAAUGAUAUAAAAAAAAAGGUUUUGCAUUUUAUAGUAUAGCAAAAAAUGAAAAACACAGGUUUGAUGCUCCUGACCCGAACCUCUUACAAUGUUUGUAUUUAGCAAAGUGAUCAAUGAAUAUGGAAAUCCUAAUAGCACAUUUCUCUGAUGAUGUUGUAGAUAAGAUUCGUAUGGAAACUCCAUCUGGGAUUAAGGACUCCAUUCCUGCUUGGAUCAAGUUCUCUGUUCAAGCACCAGGUGAAAUCCCAUACAACAGAAUACAGUAUGAUCUGCCAGAAGAGGAAAAGUAUGUAUUCAAACACCCCCAGCCAAGAAGACCAAAAUCACUUAAGUCUAUGAAUCACAUGUUGGAAUGAGUAGCAUGAUGCAGGAGCCAAUAAUUAACACAUAUGCCAACUUUAGAGAUGAUGUGCUUCCCCGCAUUAAAAGACUUGGAUAUAAUGCUGUUCAAAUCAUGGUUAUUCAAGAGCACUUGUAUUAUGCUAGAUUUGGGUAUCAUGUGACAAACUUCUUUGCACCAAGCAGCCAUUUUGGAACCCCUGAUGAUCUUAAGUCACUGAUAGAUAGGGCUCACAAGUUGGGUCUACUUGUUCUUAUGGAUAUUGUGCAUAGCCAUGCAUCUAAUAAUGUGUUAGAUGGAUUGAACAUGUUUGAUGGAACCGAUGCUCAUUACUUCCACUCAAGGUCAAAGGGUCACCAUUGGAUGUGGGAUUCUUUCCUUUUUAAUUAUGGUACUAAGGUUUCUUCUUUCAAAUGCAAGAUGGUGGCUGGACGAAUACAAGUUUGAUGGGUUCAGAUUUGAUGGUGUGACUUCAAUGAUGUACACCCAUCAUGGGUUGCAGAAUGAGUUUGGUGUCUGGGAGAUCUUUUGGCCUAAUAAUGCUGAUUAUUCACCACCAAUUCCCCAUGGUUCUCAAGUGAAGAUUUGUAUGGAAACUCCAUCUGGGAUUAAGGACUCCAUUCCUGCUUAGAUCAAGUCCUCUGUUCAAGCACCAAGUGAAAUCCCAUGCAACAGAAUGUACUAUGGUAUGCCAGAAGAGGAAAAGUAUGUAUUCAAACACCCCCAGCCAAAGAGACCAAAAUCAUUUAAGUCUAUGAAUCACAUGUUGGAAUGAGUAGCAUGGUAUCAUGUGACAAACUUCUUUGCACCAAGCAGCCAUUUUGGAACCCCUGAUGAUCUUAAGUCACUGAUAGAUAGGGCUCACAAGUUGGGUCUACUUGUUCUUAUGGAUAUUGUGCACAGCCAUGCAUCUAAUAAUAUGUUAGAUGGAUUGAACAUGUUUGAUGGAACCGAUGCUCAUUACUUCCACUCGGGUCAAAGGGUC